rnacentral:rRNA from 1 species
UACGUAGGGGGCAAGCGUUGUCCGGAAUCAUUGGGCGUAAAGCGCGUGUAGGCGGCCCGGUAAGUCCGCUGUGAAAGUCGGGGGCUCAACCCUCGAAUGCCGGUGGAUACUGUCGGGCUAGAGUACGGAAGAGGCGAGUGGAAUUCCUGGUGUAGCGGUGAAAUGCGCAGAUAUCAGGAGGAACACCGGUGGCGAAGGCGGGUCUCUGGGCAAUAACUGACGCUGAGGAGCGAAAGCGUGGGGAGCGAACAGG